AUGUAGUAUUUGUGGAUCCUUACCAUAAUAUCACUUACCUAUAGCUAAUGGAAUAUUUAAGUGGAGCUCAUAGGAGUGAAAAACAGCUCAUACAUAUGUUGUCUAAUCGAGCCAUGGAUCCAAAGGAACUCAGCAUAUAAUUAAAUCAAGAUGUGCAUGUGUGGUGGAGUAAAUGAUAGUAAUGAUGAAAAUGUAUAAGUGAUGAUAAAACUUACUUCUCAUUGCUCCUCAUAUUGCUAUGUCUCCUCUUCUUUGAUCUUUGCUUUGGGAGAACGUGGGCUAUCUUUUUCUUCUCUUUUUUUUCAGGUGGGUAGUAGACACCCCUAAUUCUACUGUCGGACACUUGUCCAUUUUUUCCGCUCAAGUGGGCAUCUUUGUACCCCUAAUUCUACUUCGGACACUUGUCCAUUUUUACCUCUCGUCUCACUCUUUUUCUUUCUUUUUCCGAGGUUCCGGGCACUUGCCCCUUUUUAUUUCCUCGUAUAUUUUUGCAUAACCCAUGCCUCUUCUCCAUUGAAUCUUUUUAGAGAGAGAGAAUAACAAUAUUUGGGACAGUGAGUGAUAAUAUAUAUAUAUAUAUAUAUAUUAACAAUUUUAAUGAAUGGUGAUGGAUGGUGUAGUAGAUGUGUGCAAGUGAAUAUCUUAAUUUAACCACAUGAAAAGCUCCUAAGGGUCUAUACAGCUCGAUCAAACUCAUUGUAAAUAAAGUAAAAGAUGUUAUAGCAAGUAUGGCUGUGGUAGGUAAUUUAUUAUGCUAGGAACUCAUCAUGUGAUUUGUAAGUUUUCAAAAUAAAUCUCCAGAACUUAGUGUAGUAGAAACAAGAUAAACAGUAGCUCGACUUUAUAUCAUGCCUUUCUCUUACCUAGACUUUAAUUUUAUGCUUCCCAAAGAUAGUAAUUUUAGUUUUAGUAAUUCCUGG
rnacentral:lncRNA from 1 species